rnacentral:rRNA from 1 species
CAAUAUGUCAGCGGCAGACGGGUGAGUAACGCGUGGGAACGUACCUUUUGGUUCGGAACAACUGAGGGAAACUUCAGCUAAUACCGGAUAAGCCCUUACGGGGAAAGAUUUAUCGCCGAAAGAUCGGCCCGCGUCUGAUUAGCUAGUUGGUGAGGUAAUGGCUCACCAAGGCGACGAUCAGUAGCUGGUCUGAGAGGAUGAUCAGCCACAUUGGGACUGAGACACGGCCCAAACUCCUACGGGAGGCAGCAGUGGGGAAUAUUGGACAAUGGGCGCAAGCCUGAUCCAGCCAUGCCGCGUGAGUGAUGAA